CCAACAAUGGGGAACUGCAAAACCUUCCAAUAACCGUAUAAGUCAAGCCUUCCAAUCCAUUUGUUUCAAUGGUACCGAAUCUUUAUAUUAGGUGUGACGGCUGCCACAACUCAUUUAAGAGGUGGGUGUACCUAAGGUGACCACACAUCCCAUUUUGAAUGACACAGUUCCAAAAAUGUCCCAUUUUCAGAAUGUAAACAAAUAAAUAACGAGAAUCAAUUGUAUACACGGUGGAAGGUCGGGUUUGUAGUUAAAUUUCUUGAACGUCGUCGCCGGUUAUUGGAUUUAUUGAAGAAAAUAUGUUCCAACGAAA